rnacentral:lncRNA from 1 species
AGAGGGAAACAAACGCCGGCGCUGACAGGGGCCGCCAGCCCCUCCGCCGCGCGGAGCCCACGAAGGGGACAGCGCAGCCGGCCCAGAGCUCGGGUCUCCGGGGACCGAGUUUCAGGGAAAGUGUGUCCGAGGCUACUGGAACUCUAACCAGAUUUGCAAAAUCACUCCUCUACUCUGAAUGCCUGCGGAUGAAGAAACAGGCAGGGUUAUACCAUGGAUUGCUGGCUUAUUUCACAGCAUUUAACUUUGCCUUAUGAUCUCCUCAUUGCGUCCCCCUCUGCCCACUGGACUUGGACUUCAGAUCUGACCCCAGACCUGCCGGCUACCUCGGGAGGGCCCACCUCCCCGCCCAUCCAGCAAGAUGCCAAUCCUCAAGCAACUGGUGUCCAGCUCGGUGCACUCCAAGCGCCGUUCCCGAGCGGACCUCACGGCCGAGAUGAUCAGCGCCCCGCUGGGCGACUUCCGCCACACCAUGCACGUUGGCCGGGCCGGAGACGCCUUUGGGGACACCUCCUUCCUCAAUAGCAAGGCUGGCGAGCCCGACGGCGAGUCCUUGGACGAACAGCCCUCUUCUUCAUCU